UACGGAGGGUGCAAACGUUGCUCGGAAUCAUUGGGCGUAAAGCGCACGUAGGCGGUCCAGCAAGUCGGGUGUGAAAGCCCUCGGCUUAACCGAGGAAGUGCAUUCGAAAACUACUGGACUUGAAUACUGGAGAGGAUCGCGGAAUUCCCGGUGUAGAGGUGAAAUUCGUAGAUAUCAGGAGGAACACCGGUGGCGAAGGCGGCCACCUGGACAGUCACUGACGCUGAGAUGCGAAAGCGUGGGGAGCAAACAGG
rnacentral:rRNA from 1 species